rnacentral:tRNA from 1 species
GCGAGAGUGGUGAAAUUGGUAGACACGCUAGAUUUAGGAUCUAGUGCCUUUAGGUGUAAGGGUUCAAGUCCCUUCUCUCGUA